rnacentral:rRNA from 1 species
GGGAAUAUUGGACAAUGGGCGCAAGCCUGAUCCAGCAAUGCCGCGUGUGUGAAGAAGGCCUGAGGGUUGUAAAGCACUUUCAGUAGGGAGGAAGGUUGAUGGUUUAAUAGGUCAUCAAAUUGACGUUACCUACAGAAGAAGCACCGGCUAACUCUGUGCCAGCAGCCGCGGUAAUACAGAGGGUGCAAGCGUUAAUCGGAAUGACUGGGCGUAAAGGGCACGUAGGUGGCCUGUCAAGUCAUAGGUGAAAUCCCCGGGCUUAACCUGGGAACUGCCUAUGAAACUGACGGACUAGAGUAUGGGAGAGGGAAGUGGAAUUUCCGGUGUAGCGGUGAAAUGCGUAGAUAUCGGAAGGAACACCAGUGGCGAAGGCGACUUCCUGGCCUAUUACUGACACUGAGGUGCGAAAGCGUGGGUAGCGA